rnacentral:rRNA from 1 species
ACGGAAGGCAGCAGUGGGGAAUAUUGCACAAUGGGGGAAACCCUGAUGCAGCGACGCCGCGUGAGCGAUGAAGUAUUUCGGUAUGUAAAGCUCUAUCAGCAGGGAAGAUAAUGACGGUACCUGACUAAGAAGCCCCGGCUAACUACGUGCCAGCAGCCGUGGUAAUACGUAGGGGGCAAGCGUUAUCCGGAUUUACUGGGUGUAAAGGGAGUCUAGGUGGUUUGGCAAGCCAGACGUGAAAACCCGGGGCUCAACCCCGCGGACUGCAUUUGGAACUGUUAAACUUGAGUGCAGGAGAGGAAAGUGGAAUUCCUAGUGUAGCGGUGAAAUGCGUAGAUAUUAGGAGGAACACCAGUGGCGAAGGCGGCUUUCUGGACUGUAACUGACACUGAGGCUCGAAAGCGUGGGGAGCAAACAGGAUUAGAUACCCUGGUA